CCUGUAUCCGAACGCAUUCGCCUUAUCUGCAAUGUUUAUCAUGAUAUAGCAAGGGUGAGCAUGAAAAUUGCCCAGCAAGUUUAAAUACAACAAUAUAAGGAUAUAUCAUUAUUGAAGAGUAUGAAUAAUAAGCUGGCUAUAAUUCAUCAAUAUAAUUGAGAACUAGCAGGAACAAACUUUUGACUGAACAAGUUUUAAACAUGAACAAACAUUUCUGAACAAACUGGUAAUGAAGGUGAUCAGCCUUUCAUACCUGACUUAUACAUGCAAGAUGUACAGAGUACAAUUUUCAUGGCAAUCAGCAAUGAUUNNNN
rnacentral:lncRNA from 1 species